rnacentral:rRNA from 1 species
AGAGUUUGAUCAUGGCUCAGAAUCAACGCUGGCGGCGUGCCUAACACAUGCAAGUCGAACGAGAAAGGGUAGCAAUACCUGAGUAAAGUGGCGCACGGGUGAGUAACACGUGACUAACCUACCCUGGAGUGGGGGAUAACUGAGGGAAACCUUAGCUAAUACCGCAUAAUACCCACGGGUCAAAGGAGCAAUUCGCUUCAGGAGGGGGUCGCGGCCGAUUAGUUAGUUGGCGGGGUAAUGGCCCACCAAGACGAUGAUCGGUAUCCGGCCUGAGAGGGCGCACGGACACACUGGAACUGAAACACGGUCCAGACUCCUACGGGAGGCAGCAGUGGGGAAUUUUGCGCAAUGGGGGAAACCCUGACGCAGCAACGCCGCGUGGAGGAUGAAGUCCUUCGGGACGUAAACUCCUUUCGAUCGGGACGAUUAUGACGGUACCGGAAGAAGAAGCCCCGGCUAACUUCGUGCCAGCAGCCGCGGUAAUACGAGGGGGGCGAGCGUUGUUCGGAAUUAUUGGGCGUAAAGGGUGCGUAGGCGGUUUGGUAAGUCUUGUGUGAAAUCUACAGGCUCAACUUGUAGUCUGCACGAGAAACUGCCGGGCUUGAGUAUGGGAGAGGUGAGUGGAAUUCCUGGUGUAGCGGUGAAAUGCGUAGAUAUCAGGAGGAACACCUGUGGCGAAAGCGGCUCACUGGACCAUAACUGACGCUGAUGCACGAAAGCUAGGGGAGCAAACAGGAUUAGAUACCCCGGUAGUCC